AUGUCCAAGCUAGCCACGAUCACUGAUCUCUUCCCUUGCAUAGACAGGGUGCUAAGGGCUUCCUAUGGACUGUCCUUCCAUCCUCACAGUGAUGCCAAGAGGUCAGGGCAGUCAGCACUCCCAUUUCACACAUGGGGAAAACUGAGGUUCAGGGGAGUGAUAACCUGCUCUGAUCUCAGCAGACAAGUGGUAGAGCCAGUUGAGGACCUCGGCCACCUGACUCCAGCCUGUGUGGUCUUCGGCCCUGUUCUAAACUCCCUUACAUCGGGCAGCCGAGCUGUUGGGAGCUGGGGAAUCAUCUGUCAGCUGGCCCUAGUUCCCACAUCUUUCCCGUGUCCCUCGGCCACACCUCCCGUUCCCGAGUAUCCCUCCCGUCUGUCCCACACUCACUCCUUGUCUCCAUCCCAUCAGAGGAAGGGAAGGAGCCUCUCUGAGUCUGGAGGACACAGAGCCCCCAGCCCUGGCCUGGUGACCCUGGGACCUACAUGGCGAUGAGGCGGGCCACGGUGGUCUUGAAACGGUCGAAGAUGUAACCCAUGGGGAAGGUCAUGAAGUUGUUCAUGAAGGAGGCCAGGGUGAAGAUGAGUGAGAACUGCUCGUCCUGGGCCCUGCAAUCUGGAGGAGAGACGGGCCCAUCUCAGGAGCCCAGGCAGACGGGCCAACCCCCACACCUGUCCCAGCCUCCCUGGCAGGCAGGCACCCAGCCUGUUACCUGUCCAGGGCAACCUCUUCCAUCUCGGACAGCCUGCCGGCGGGGAAUGUUACCCCUUUCACAGCUAAGCCGUGACGGUCGCUAAUCAGCCCUUGGGAGUGGGCACCUCCCUCCCCAGGCGCCUCUUAGGUCCAGGUUGAGGAUGGGGGAGGCUGACGCCCCCUUUUUAGCCUGGCCUGGGUGGGGGUGGGGGGGCCCGGAGUCCUGUCUAGCCCUUCUUCCCACCACCUGGGAUCCAGACUCAAGAGAAGGUCCUGCUCCCUUACCAUCCAGCCCGGUGGCAUUGCCCAGUGACCCGGCAUCCGGUUCGCAAAGCUCCUCGAAGUAAUGCUGCUUUUUGAAGACAUACACCAGAGACGUCCAGCCAAAGAGGACGCCCGCGAAGCCGAGGCACUCCAGGAGCCCUGUGAACAGCGUGGCCACACGGAAGGGCAGGCCGCGGCCCUGCAUGGCGCCAGGGGGGCCAACGCCACGGCCCCACUGGCGGCCUCUGGGCUCCGGGCUAACCCGGCCUGGCGGCCUCCGGGCUGACCCGGCCUGGUGGCCAAGCCCUCGGAAAAUUCCUAGGGUCUGGGUGGUCCUCUGGUUUCUGGCUGUUUCCGGCUUGUGCAAGAGUCAUCCACCCGGCUUCUCUUGAUCCUGUUAAGUCAGGCGGAGGCUGCUCGUUCCACAGGGUGCUGUGGGUAGGAUAGGGCGGACCAGGGGUUCUUUGUCUGACGGAGGCCAACUGUUAGACACAGUUACAAACCUUCUCCAUCCCACAGCUGGCAACAGCCCCAGCCGCUAAGGAACAGAAGCAGUUCUGGGCCAGGCACAGAGGCUGCGGGACCCCGCACGAGUCCUCCCUGAGCCGGCCAGUAACUUGGUAAAGCGGGUGUUUUCCUAUCUUCAGUUCACUGACAAAAGCGCCGAGAAUUUUGUCAGCUUCCCUAGGUGACGUGGGCUGAUAAGUCACGCAGCCGGCAGGGCUAAUAGCAAAAGCAUCCCCCCAAGCACCCCCGCCCGGCUCCAAGAUCCCCCGCGAUCCAAGUCUGGGACCCCCGAAACCUCCACCCCCACGCCCCACGCCCCUCUUCCCAUCACCAUCAG
rnacentral:lncRNA from 1 species